AUUGAACGCUGGCGGCAGGCCUAACACAUGCAAGUCGAACGAGUGGCGGACGGGUGAGUAAUGUCUGGGAAACUGACUGAUGGCGGGGGAUAACUCCUGGAAACGGUAGCUAAUACCGCAUACCAUCAGAUGUGCCCAGAGGGGAUUAGCUAGUUGGUGGGGUAACGGUUCACCAAGGCGACGAUCCCUAGCUUGUCUGAGAGGAUGAACAGCCACACUGGAAAUGAGACACGGUCCAGACUCCUACGGGAGGUAGCAGUGGGGAAUAUUGCACAAUGGGCGCAAGCCGGAUGCAGCCAUGCCGCGUGUAUGAAGAAGGCCUGCGGGUUGUAAAGUACUUGCAGCGGGGAGGCGUUACCCGCAGAAGAAGAACCGGCUAACUCCGUGCCAGCAGCCGCGGUAAUUC
rnacentral:rRNA from 1 species